rnacentral:rRNA from 1 species
GAUGAACGCUGGCGGCGUGCCUAAUACAUGCAAGUCGAGCGAACGGACGAGAAGCUUGCUUCUCUGAUGUUAGCGGCGGACGGGUGAGUAACACGUGGAUAACCUACCUAUAAGACUGGGAUAACUUCGGGAAACCGUAGCUAAUACCGGAUAAUAUUUUGAACCGCAUGGUUAAAAAGUGAAAGACGGUCUUGCUGUCACUUAUAGAUGGAUCCGCGCUGCAUUAGCUAGUUGGUAAGGUAACGGCUUACCAAGGCAACGAUGCAUAGCCGACCUGAGAGUGUGAUCGGCCAAACUGGAACUGAGACACGGUCCAGACUCCUACGGGAGGCAGCAGUAGGGAAUCUUCCGCAAUGGGCGAAAGCCUGACGGAGCAACGCCGCGUGAGUGAUGAAGGUCUUCGGAUCGUAAAACUCUGUUAUUAGGGAAGAACAUAUGUGUAAGUAACUGUGCACAUCUUGACGGUACCUAAUCAGAAAGCCACGGCUAACUACGUG